AUUGAACGCUGGCGGCAGGCCUAACACAUGCAAGUCGAACGAGUGGCGGACGGGUGAGUAAUGUCUGGGAAACUGCCUGAUGGAGGGGGAUAACUACUGGAAACGGUAGCUAAUACCGCAUACCAUCAGAUUUGCCCAGAUGGGAUUAGCUUGUUGGGGGGGUAACGGCUCACCAGGGCGACGAUCCCUAGCGGGUCUGAGAGGAUGACCAGCAAAACUGGAACUGAGAACCGGUCCAGCCUCCUACGGGAGGCAGAAGUGGGGAAUAUUGCACAAGGGGGGCAGGCCGGAUGAAGCAAUGCCGCGUGGAUGAGGAAGGCCGUCGGGUGGUAAAGUACUUUCAGCGGGGAGGCGUUACCCGCAGAAGAAGCAACGGCUAACUCCGUGCCAGCAGCCGCGGUAAUAC
rnacentral:rRNA from 1 species